UCAGAAAAAACUGGCGGACGACAUCGAGAAACAAAAAGGGGAAAUGAAAGCAAAGGCAGAUGAGCUCAAGAAAAUGGAGGAAGAGAAAAAGAAAGUGGAAGCCAACCUGGAGGAGUUCAAGAAGCUCUGCGAAGUGGCCGACAAGACGAAAGAUUUGACAAAGAAACUCUGCCCACAGCAACCUUCCGUUCAGAACCAGGCCUAGUCACUCUUGCGGCCUGAUCGCAAGGGCUUACGGGACACAUCGAUCAAGACCUCAACCCCGACUGGAUUUUGCAUGCAGCUGGGCGGUGGAGACUGCGUGAUUACAGAAACGACAAAGGCCACUGCACGCACGCGCAAUGCGUACACAAUUGGAUUAGGGUGUACGCCACUAGUGGCCCCAAACCCAUCCAAUGAGGCCCAAGUGGAAUAUUCCCCCCCGCCACUCCACUCGCCCUGGACAGGGGCGGGGGGGUUUGGUGGGCUGGGGGGGGGGGGGGGGCAACACUCGAGAAGCUCGACACCAUCCACGGCAAAGUUGUCCCCCCCCCCUCCCCACCACCACUCGAUUGGCGCCGCACCCACUCAGUCGCAGCAGUGUGUACCAUCGAUAAGAUGCACCGCCAGCCUCUUCCAAAGCAAUGACCACUGCCGUUUAGACAGACCAGGGAAACACCUAGCCCCCUCCCCUCUGAGCCCCGAAUUGGAAACAUGCCGACCCUUCCCUUCCCCUGGGGCCGAACCCUUGGAGCUAACGGUGCUCCCUAAGCUGCAGGGAGCACGUGUGCGCGGUUGGAGGUGGCAGCUCACCGACACCCGUGCCAAGGGUGACUCGUUUACCCACAUGUCAACCGCGCUUUCCAAACGUUGUGACCCCCUCAACGAUGACUUGUGUACCCCGCACCUUCCAACUCCUGAAGCGGCCUCCAGAGGUGUCCCCUCCCCCAUCUCUCUCUCUCUCUCUC